ACACACAGUCUUGUAAGACUUUUGUAGACUUGAUUUUUUUCUUUUUUUUUUUGUUUAAAGGUCUACCCAUCCCUUCCCACCUCAUCCCGGCUGCAUCCUCCUCCUCCUCCUCCUCCUCGUUUCUCCGACUCCCGCGUCAUCCAAUAGCAACGGCGCAGAGGGCGGCAGAUGCGCGACAGAGGAGUGGAUCAUAAAAAGCACAGGGCCUGAAAGAGGAAGUGAAGGGAACCUGCAUAAAUCUGCCGCAUGACAGCUGGAAUCGCCCUGACCGAUACGCUUCGAAUUAGCGUGAAGAGCUUCAACUUUGAUGAGAGCGGCUUCAAAAUAUUGGAAAAGUGUGAACAGGGGCAUACAAAAAAAAAAAAGAAAAAGUCAGGAAACAUCCAAUGGUCAAAAAUGGGGCUGUUAUGGAACACUGGUUCACUUCCCGUUUUGAGAAAAGAAAAACUUCAAGAGGAUAUUAUUUCAGGGAGAAAAAAAAAACGACUUUUAUGAUAACAAGCUAACUUUAUUCAUGAUAUUAUUAAUCGGACGAGAAUUAAGUUUUGAAGAAUAGAAGUUGUACAUUUUCAAGAUGUGUGGUUUUGAAGGCACUCAAUGUCAAAUGUCUUUGUUACAAGUAAAACGACCCAGAAAGAAUAA